GAGAGUUUGAUCAUGGCUCAGAUUGAACGCUGGCGGCGUGCCUAACACAUGCAAGUCGAGCGGUAACAGGUGUAGCAAUACAUGCUGACGAGCGGCGAACGGGUGAGUAAUGCAUUGGAAUCUUCCUAGUAGUGGGGAAUAACCAGUCGAAAGAUUGGCUAAUACCGCAUACGUCCGAGAGGGGAAAGCGGGGGACCGUA
rnacentral:rRNA from 1 species